AUUCGCUCUUGAGCCGGGGUCUACAGUUUUGGCGAGCCAUUCGUAUUUGGCAUACAAUAGAAACGAUUAUGGCAUCGUUUGUAUGUUUGGCGAUUAAAGGGGUCGAUUGGGAUGCUAAUGGAUAUCGGGGCGAUGAUGAUGAGCCAGGUAAUUGGCUCUUGUUCCUUUUCCAUGACAACUUCCCCGGCAUUUCGAACGAUCUUUAAAGAUUACUAAAGAUUACUCAUCGAGUUAGGUGACAAAUAAAAAUACAGUAAAGGUAAA